AUGGAAGCCUGCUUCAGCCACAGCCACCAGCCCGUGCCGUCUGGUCCCCUUUCCUCCCCACUGGGCCCCCGUCUAGCUGACCCUGGCCAGGUGCACUGUCCCGCCAGACACCGUCAGCUCCACGCAGUGCAGAGAACCUGGGGAGCCCUGGCCUGGUGGAGUCAAUACGCAUCACUGGAGCCCUCCCCCUGCCCAAGACUUUUUGAAGGGAAUUCCUUUGGGGAAAUUUCUGUCUCAAGCAAGAUUCCCGGACCACACAGAAGCUACAGCAUUGGAAUGUCAUAAAUAAACAUGGUGAGAUUGACUCAUUCUACAUAAACCUUGCCGAGAGAUCCUGGACCCUUGUUCUGGUUAUUUAUGGCUGAAACCCUGAAAAUGAAUUAGGUAAGUGAGGUGCAGCCCUUCCUGGAGGCAAAAAUAGCGAAACAGAUGGUA
rnacentral:lncRNA from 1 species